GCCUUAUCUUCUCUUUGGGCACGUGCAGUCAUUGUCAAGUAACUGUCACUGCCGCUUUUUAAAAGACCUGAAAUGCAAAUCUCAGUGGAAGGCUCUAGAAAUAUAAGCUGAGUUGAGGCUACGGAAAAAGGCAGUUGGGAGACAAGGCCUCAAAAAUAAUCAUGACUAUCUCCCUGUGAAAACAUGACCCGCUUUAUCUCUUGAACAUUUUCAUGCCUUUUGAGUGAGAUUUUUUUUUUCUGCUCUUCUUGCUUUUUCUGAAACAAAAACCUGCCUCUCGUUUCCUGACCGUCUCCACUUUGCUCUCUUCAAGACUGAGUGACUUUAGGUGUGUCUAAUGCGACUGGAUUUAUUUGAGAAGCUCAAGCACUGAUUUGUUUAUUCCAUUUACUUCGACAGCAUGCCCAUUACCCCGGGAUUCUGAGCACAUAUAAAUGAUCUGCUCGGGGUUGGCAAACAAGAGCUGGUGAUGGAUGGAGAGCGAGCAGACAGUCUAAAAGCAUUCGUCAAAAGGGCUCUUCCGUCCCAGAAAUGCUUGGUUAAGCAGUAGGUCUGGGAGCCACAAAUAAAUAAUGAACAGAGCAAGAGGGGAAGAGGUGA
rnacentral:lncRNA from 1 species